CCAAUGAAAUUAUGAAGGAAAGAGGACGAAUAAAUAUAGAUAGAAGUCACUAUUGGGAGCAUUCAUUUUGUACACAUGACGUGGCAUUAUCUAGACCACACAUCUCUCCAAGUGAGUGUUGUGAACAAUCAACUAGAAGCAGCCAUGCAGUGAAUGCAAUGUGUGCACUGCUACAAUAACUUCUCUCUAGCA